rnacentral:piRNA from 1 species
UACCUUUAGCUUGUGUUUCCGUAUUGAAAG